rnacentral:pre_miRNA from 1 species
GAUGUACUCCCUCCGUUCCGAAUUACUUGUCGCAGGUAUGGAUGUAUCUAGAUGUAUUUUAGUUCUAGAUAUAUCCAUUUCUGCGACGAGUAAUUUGGAACGGAGGGAGUAGUCG